rnacentral:rRNA from 1 species
GAUGAACGCUGGCGGCGUGCCUAAUACAUGCAAGUCGAGCGAACAGACGAGGAGCUUGCUCCUCUGACGUUAGCGGCGGACGGGUGAGUAACACGUGGAUAACCUACCUAUAAGACUGGGAUCACUUCGGGAAACCGGAGCUAAUACCGGAUAAUCUAUUGCACCGCAUGGUUCAAUAGUGAAAGACGGUUUUGCUGUCACUUAUAGAUGGAUCUGCGCCGCAUUAGCUAGUUGGUAAGGUAACGGCUUACCAAGGCAACGAUGCGUAGCCGACCUGAGAGGGUGGUAGGCCACACGGGAGCGGAGACACGGUCCAGACGCCUACGGGAGGCAGCAGUAGGGAAUCUGCCGCAAUAGGCGAAAGCCUGACGGAGCAACGCCGCGUGAGAGAUGACGGUCUUCGGAUCGUAAAACUCUGUUAUUAGGGAAGAACAAAUGUGUAAGUAGCUAUGCACGUCUUGACGGUACCUAAUCAGAAAGCCACGGCUAACUACGUG